AGAGUCCAGUGGGGAUCACUUUCUGUCCAGGUCUUUCAGGUCCACAGUGAUGAUGAGGUUCCUGGUUCUCCUGCUGGGCUCUCUGGGUCUUCUGGUUCAUGGUUCAUCAGGAGAAAUCGUCCUGACUCAGUCUCCUGAGUCUCAGUCUGUCAGUCUAAGACAGACCGUCUCCAUCACAUGUAGAACCAGUUCAAGUGUUAGUAACUACCUCCACUGGUACCUUCAGAAACCCGGAGAAGUUCCAAAACUCCUGAUUUAUGGUGCCACAAACCGUCAGUCUGGAGUUUCAGAUCGUUUCAUUGGAAGUGGGUAUGGGACUGACUUCACUCUGAAAAUCACUGAAGUCCAGACUGAAGAUGCAGGAGUUUAUUACUGUCAGCAGCGUAACAGCUUCCCGCUCACAUUCGGUGGAGGAACCAGACUGCAUGUUGGAUCUGGCACCUCUCCCACCCUGACAGUGCUGCCCCCCUCUGGUGAGGAGGUGCAAAAGGGGACGGCCACGCUCGUGUGUCUGGCCAACAAGGGCUUCCCUUCAGACUGGACUCUGGCCUGGAAGGUGGACGGCAGCAGCAGCAACUCAUGGGAGGAGACCAGGAGCCCCACGGUGCUGGAGGAGGGCGCCCUCUACAGCUGGAGCAGCACCCUGAGGCUCUCUGCAGACCAGUGGAUGAAGGUCAACUCUGUGAGCUGUGAGGCCACUCGGGGUUCCCAGACUGCACUGUCAGAGACACUGAGGAGAGACCAGUGCUCCCAGUCCUGAGCCCACUCACUGGGACUCAGAUACUGGUUUGACCCUCAUCCUGCUCUCACUCUACAAUAUGUGUGUGUUUUGUCUUUUUCAGUCAUCGUUAUGUGGAAUGUUUCAACAUUACAACACAAUAAAGAGCAUCAAAA